AAUUUAAUAAGUCAUCGUUUCAAGAAAACAAUAGCUGAGUCGAGAUUGUCAGACUGAGAAAUGUACGCACAAUUUAAAAUGUUUAGAGGGGGAAAAAGUUAAGUUGCCAUAGAUGACAACAUAUAUAUUAAUUGUGGCAGUAAAGUCUUAGAUUACGAAAGUUAGAUUUAUGUGCCAAAAUUGUAAUUGUUGGCUAUAACGGAAAAAUUACGAUUGAGUGUGAACAUG
rnacentral:lncRNA from 1 species